UCCAUCUUCCAGUGCAGUGUUG
rnacentral:miRNA from 2 species